CUACCCUUGACAUGCCAGGAAUCCUGCAGAGAUGUGGGAGUGCUCGAAAGAGAGCCUGGACACAGGUGCUGCAUGGCUGCCGUCAGCUCGUGUCGUGAGAUGUUGGGUUAAGUCCCGCGACGAGCGCAACCCUUGUCAUUAGUUGCCAUCAUUUAGUUGGGCACUCUAAUGAGACUGCCGGUGACAAACCGGAGGAAGGUGGGGAUGACGUCAAGUCCUCAUGGCCCUUAUGGGUAGGGCUUCACACGUCAUACAAUGGUCGGUACAGAGGGUUGCCAAGCCGCGAGGUGGAGCCAAUCCCAGAAAGCCGAUCGUAGUCCGGAUCGCAGUCUGCAACUCGACUGCGUGAAGUCGGAAUCGCUAGUAAUCGCGGAUCAGCAUGCCGCGGUGAAUACGUUCCC
rnacentral:rRNA from 1 species